GGGAAGUGAGGACAUCUGCACCCUGCCACUUCCUUCAGAAGCCUGCAGUCUAAGCAUGUCUCUACCAAAGAUACAUCUGGGAGAGAACUACUUUGUCUCCCCCUGUUUUAAAGUUCCUGUAAGCUAGGAACCUGGCUUCAUUUAUCUUUGUCCCUAGUGCUUCAUGCAGGUGGCAUAAGGAGUUUGACAAGAAGGCACUAUAAGUCAAGACAGAAUACAUCUUGCCCAAGAAGAUUGAUAAAUCAGCAAUAUGCAAAGUGAGCCCAGUUCUGCCAUGGUCAGUCCUUGUAUUUCUGGAGAAAUAAUCACUUUCCAACGAAAUGUGAAGAUCAAGAGAAUGAGAUAGAGAAGCCAUAUGUUGAAGUAUUUACAAUGUAGUUUCAUUAUUUUGUUUGAUGUUCUAUGAUUUUCCAGAAAUCUAGAUGUCCUUUUUUCAAAUAAAAAACAUAAAACUUUUGCAGA